rnacentral:lncRNA from 1 species
UCGAGAGCGUUUUCCUUCAUAUAAAAGUUUGUACAGGUUUGUCCUUUGCUCUAAAAAAGGAUUGGGCAUCUUGCUGCACCUUAUUUAGUUUCAUUACUUGUUACCCAUUACAAAUUACCUUAUCACAAAACCAUCUAUUACCGAUAAUUUCAAUGCUUGCAGAGAAUACCUUGUUGAAAACCGUUUAUCAUUUUCUUCUGCUCCUCGUUGGGUUCGACACUCUUCUAUCGAAAGGACUACCAUAGAUCGCCUGUACUCACCGCCGCCUCCGAUCGCCGCCAUGCUCACCACCACCUCUCGCUGACAGGGCUUCGCCCGUACAUCUGGCACGAAGGGCAGGCGGAUCCGGCGGGGAGGUGUAGAAGGGCUCCCCGUCAUCCGUUCCCGCCGGCCACGUAGCUGGCCGAUCCGAAUCUGGUUGCUGACCUCAGGCACAGCGGUGUGGUGAGGCUAGAAGGAGGGACGGCAUCCUCAUAUCGUCGGGCAAGGUCUGCUUACCUCAGCCGAGCAGCGCUGUUGAUCUUCAUGGCGAGGCCCUCCCAGUCGGCGGUGAAGUAGCCGGAGCUGGACCGAGGUCGAGCGCGACAAGCUACUCNNNNNNNNNNNNNNNNNNNNNNNNNNNNNNNNNNNNNNNNNNNNNNNNNNNNNNNNNNNNNNNNNNNNNNNNNNNNNNNNNNNNNNNNNNNNNNNNNNNNNNNNNNNNNNNNNNNNNNNNNNNNNNNNNNNNNNNNNNNNNNNNNNNNNNNNNNNNNNNNNNNNNNNNNNNNNNNNNNNNNNNNNNNNNNNNNNNNNNNNNNNNNNNNNNNNNNNNNNNNNNNNNNNNNNNNNNNNNNNNNNNNNNNNNNNNNNNNNNNNNNNNAGGGGUUUCAUUCUGGUUCGCGUUGGUGCUCGGCAGGGGAAGCAGAUUUGCUCUUGCGCAUUGCUCUGCUAAAUGUGAAGAUUUUUCUGUUUUACAUGUGUUAUCCUGCUGGCCAGGUUUGGGUUUUGUUGGAGUAGAUGGUGUAUGUCUUCAUCUGUGAAGAGAAUGAUUUUGUCAAGGGAUUCAGCUAUAGUUUGUUGGCAGAAAAGUAAGAGGAUGAGGAUGCAACUAAUGAUAUUUCUGUAACUUCCCUCUGUCUUUUUGUCUGUUAUAGGUUUUAGAGUUAAAUGUAGAAGCAUUUGUUAGCUUGGAACUAUGAUACAGGUAUAGUUAGUAGUACCAAAUCUCUGCAAAGUGCUAGUAAGAAAAUGCUCGAAUGUUUAUGUUGCUGCCGGCAUGGCUGCCCUUCCUCUCAAUUAGUUUUCUGGAUGAUAUUUCAGUGAAGCAAUGGAUAUAAUCUGCACAUGCGUGCUCAUGCUAUCCAAGAAUUGAUGUAUUAAAAUGCCCAUGUGUAUUGUGCCUUUUUAGUGUCGUUUCGCCUGUAUUAAACAUCUACUGAAAAAUGCUUUAUGUGACUAGAAGAAAUCAAAGCCGUGGUACAUGUGCUGAAGUUUUUUGUCCCUAAUUUUUUCUUUCUUUCUUGGAACUUUGAUAUACGCUCAAGUGGUUUGUGCUUGCUCAUGCACUAACUGGUGUGCAAUGCCAGCUUCACUGGACUAUCACAUUUGUGAUUGAGCCAAUUGUCCUCAUUUCUUCACAAUUGUACGAUUAAGAUUUUACUUCUGUUUAUAGCGAAUGAUUUGUUAGGUUCUAGGCAUCUCAUCUACCCUGUGUAAAAGGAAAGAUAGUGUUUGCAUUCGAUUAUCUUUGUUUAUAUCAGCAGAGCAACUUCCCUGGGGAUGACAAAGAAAUUCGAUCCACAAAAUCUUUUGAAUUCAUUUCGUAUAUUUUUUUUUGAGCUGUGCUGUUUUCCAUAGUACUAAAUUUGUAUUAGUUAUUCCUACAAGUGUUAGUUAUUCAUAAGCAUAUAAUAUAAUCUGCUACUGUCAAAUUUUAGUUUACACUAACUUGUAAGCUAUACUGCUAGAUAGCACCUUAGUUAUUUCUUUAGUGAAUCAUCAGCAAGUUUCUUUGACCAUUUAACACCAGUAUUGAAAGUCCUUGCCUAUCACUGGUUUAUCUUGGUUCAAAUAUUAUUGAUAAUCUUCAAGUUAUCAUUGGCCAUGGACACCUUAUAUUGAGUUCAGUUUUGGACAUGCGUUCACUUAGUGUAGAAGUACAGGCUCAUUGUAUUCGCUUGUCGUUUCCCCUUUUCAUGAUAUGCUUGUACUGACAAAUUGAAUCACUGUUGGUGACAAUAUUUACGUCUGAAACUCUGGUAUUCUACUCUAUUUCCUGAUACCUUGUCAGUCAGUAUGUACUGAGUAUAUCUACAUUACAGGUUUCUGUAGUUCAAGAUUAAAGGCAAGAAUCAGGCAAAUAUGAUUAUGAGAACAAGGCUAAUGAUGGAGAACCUUCAUCUACGGAAGCUGAGCAGUCUAUUGGGAAAACUAAGUUUCAAUGUGCAUCCUGAGUUUCAGCUACCUGAAAUCAAAGGCCAAUUUCAGUCGAUCCCGAAGUAAACUACCACAUGUAAGUUUAGGGACACACAUUAGUUUCCGGCUAGGGAUUUAAUGGCUGCUGAACUUUAUGCACACAUGGUGUAGUAGAGAUGCAGGCUUCGUUAUCCUGCAGUUAUCUGAUUUUUUUCUGAACUGCACUCCUCUUGCCUUGAGUUUUGUUCUUAACCAAAUUAUUACUUACUGACAAACGAAUGCUUGUUUGCCGUCCUCACAUGUAUAUUCAGAUGAGGGGUACCCCAUGCUGCUGUUAGAUAAAUCAUGAAUCAAGAGAGCAUAGUGGAGAGAGGGGAGAGACCAAUAUACGUCUUUGUCAAAUGUUUUUAUUGACAAAUGCAUUCGAUUUAUUGGCAGCAACACAACAUUCCUUUGUUGGCAAAAGCAUUCGCCUGCCCAGAUGCAGAUUCUAUGUUUACCUUAGGAAGUUCUUUUAGCGUUCUACUUCUUGACUUCAAAUUUUGUAGUGUAUUGGAUUUUGAGAUAUAAGAUAGAUACUUAGUAUGAUUGUCUGGUUUAUGUGCUAGUCCCAGGUAAAAUCGGAGUUAGCUUCUUAUGAAUGUCGAACCAUUAAUAUCAACUUAACUCCUAACAGUGCUAGCUUACUUGCCAUAUCAAAUGACUCGGUAUGCAUCAGGCUAGCUAGGCGAUAUGAAAUUUUACUGUUCUGAUUGACGUGAUAUUUAGAGUUCUAAUUGACAUAUUCUUUUUCAAAUAUCCAGUUAAGACCUCUGUGUUCCUUCGUCCGGGGAGGGACAUGCACCACUCCUCUAAACCUCGUAAUGCAUGCAGCGUAGGAAUAUCUAGGUAAUCGGAAAGUCGGACUUUGAGCAGCAGAGGACAUGCUAUCUUUUUUGAAACAUAAAAAUAUCUUACCUGAUAUAUUAAGGGAACGCAGAUUUUCAUUUUGGAUAAGCAGAUCUUUUUUCUUCUGAUAAGCAGCUCUCCUCUAGGCAUUUUUAUGCUCUCUCUUGCGAUCUUCUUCACUUUUUGCCUAGUUUCUAUGGUGUCAUUCAAGACAGCUACUGGUGUCAUUCAGGACAUUCCCAAAAGACAGAGAAAAAAACAGAACCUGACAUCAAAUGAUUAUGGAAUACGUACAAUAUGAUUACCUUGUAGAUCUAUGUCAUGAAUAACACCGGAUGUGACCGUAGUUGAAGGAGGAAAUGUUGCAUCAUUAUGCGAGAAUGAUGUAUAGCUGGAGCUAGUUGGGUUGUCUGGUUAAACAAUGUUGUGAAAACAUAUUUAGAACUUAAUGGUUCAAACACGGGUAUGAUGCUUGCCUUGUAUUCGUCUACAUAUGUCCCGCCCAUAUGGCCUACAACACAUUAUGUAUACACCAUGUCACUGUCAGAAAUGCACGACUCGCAUGUGUAGGAAUUUUUGAUAGCGUGAAAUAUACCUGUAGGUAAGUCCUCCUCUGGUUGAUGUUCACUUGCCUUGCUUUUUGAAUUCCCCAUACGUACCUAUGUAAUGGCAGCUCCCUGACACGAAAAGACCAUUGCUUGAUGUAUGUAGCAAAAUAACGCAUUGCCUUUUUUCUUGCUUUUCAGAAGACAAGGAACAGGACACAGUUAUUUUCUGGAUUUCCAGAAGACAAGGACCAGGACCACAGCAAACAUCCUGUACUGUGCUUGCCAUGUUAAAAUUUCUUCUAGUCUUUUUUAUUAGAUUGACUACGUAUUUGGUACUGCCCAUUUGAUUUCAAGAGAAGUCCUAUUGUACAGGAAUUUGAAGAAAAAAGUACUGAUGCAACCAUGGAAGGGGUGGAAGGUAAAGCCAUUCUGAGGGAUAUAUGAACAGCGAAGAACUUAUUAACCAUUUUUUAUAAAACUUGAUGAUGAAUUGGUUACUAUAGUCCCAAAAUAAUUACCAUAUGUGAAGAAUAUUUGAAAGAGGGGGGGUUAUAUUUUCUUUGGAAGUGAGCUUAUUUGGAAGUAUCUUUAAGAAUUUGGUGGCAACAUAUGUUUAAUAAAUUCUUUUUGUGUGUGGCCAUGGUGUUUUCUUGCAUCACACUGUGUAAGCAUGUCUUUAUCUACUGAUUCUGGAUAUACCAUGAUGAAUAGUUUCUAAUUUCUUUCAAAAGUUGCUUUCAGAUUAACUGUGGUCAUUUGGCGUAAAAUAUUUGACGAUGGUUUUUUCUCCCAAACUGGCAAGGUAUUUUACUACCUAUAUUAAUUACUAGAAGGUGUGAUUUUGCUGUACAUAUUUAACCAAUAGUUUGUAGGUUCUACUUGGUACUGAUUGCCAUACCUACACUGUUGGAUCCUUUGCCCAACUUGCAACUGGAAACGUGAAACAGUGAUGCAGAUUUUGUGAUAGAUCUGGAAAGGCCUUUCGGAAGGUGUGCAAACAUGUAUCAUUGUUUCAUUGGAAAUGGUAUAACAAUGGAAAUAAUAUGUACGAACCAAUCUUUGCAACGAACAAUAGUGCAUAUAUUGAGUGUUGUGUCAUAUUAGCACCCUUUCCAUUCUGGUGCGAUAAAUAUAGGUUCUUAGCAUGUUUUUACUUUCUGUCAUGGACAUCUGUCUCUUUGUCAUAACGUAGUGAUAUGUCUUCAACGUAUCUAUAAUUUUUUAUUGUUCCAUGCUAUUAUAUUAUCCAUCUAGGAUGUUUUAUAUGCAUUUAUAUGCUAUUUUAUAUGAUUUUUGGGACUAACCUAUUAACCUAGAGCCCAGUGCCAGUUUCUGUUUUUUUCUUGUUUUUGAGUUUUGUAGAAAAGGAAUACCAAAUGGAGUCCAAUUGAUGUGCUAAUUUUUGAUGAUUUUUUAUGGACCAAAAGAAGCCCCCGGAGUAAAAGAGUUGGGCCAGAAGAGUCUCGGGCCAUCCACGAGGGUGGGGGACGCACCUACCCCCUGGGCGCGCCCCCCUAUUUUGUGGACGACUCGGAGACCCCCCUGACGUGAGACCUACGCCAAAAAUUCCUAUAAAUACAUAAACCCCCGGAACAUAACCUAGAUCGGGAGUUCCGCCGCCGCAAGGCUCUGUAGCCACCAAAAACCAAUUGGGACCCUGUUCCGGCACCCUGCCGGAGGGGGGAAUCCCUCGCCGGUGGCCAUCUUCAUCAUCCUGGCGCUCUCCAUGAUGAGGAGGGAGUAGUUCACCCUCGGGGCUGAGGGUAUGUACCAGUAGCUAUGUGUUUGAUCUCUCUCUUUCGUGUUCUUGAUUCGGCACGAUUUUGAUGUAUCGCGAGCUUUGCUAUUAUAGUUGGAUCUUAUGAUGUUUCUCGCCCUCUACUCUCUUGUAAUGGAUUGAGUUUUCCCUUUGAAGUUAUCUUAUCGGAUUAAGUCUUUAAGGAUUUGAGAAUACUUGAUGUAUGUCUUGCAUGUGCUUAUCUAUGGUGACAAUGGGAUAUUCACGUGAUCCACUUGAUGUAUGUUUUGGUGAUCAACUUGCGGGUUCCGUAACAUUGUGAACUUAUGCAUAGGGAUUGGCACACGUUUUCGUCUUGACUCUUCGGUAGAAACUUUGGGGCACUCUUUGAAGUUUUUUGUGUUGGUUGAAUAGAUGGAUCUGAGAUUGUGUGAUGCAUAUCGUAUAAUCAUACCCACGGAUACUUGAGGUGACAUUGGAGUAUCUAGGUGACAUUAGGGUUUUAGUUGAUAUGUGUCUUAAGGUGUUAUUCUAGUACGAACUCUAGGAUAGAUCGAACGGAAAGAAUAGCUUCGUGUUAUUUUACUACGGACUCUUGAAUAGAUCGAUCAGAAAGGAUAACUUUGAGGUGGUUUCGUACCCUACAAUAAUCUCUUCGUUUGUUCUCCGCUAUUAGUGACUUUGGAGUGACUCUUUGUUGCAUGUUGAGGGAUAGUUAUAUGAUCCAAUUAUGUUAUUAUUGUUGAGAGAACUUGCACUAGUGAAAGUAUGAACCCUAGGCCUUGUUUCAACGCAUUGCAAUAUCGUUUGUGCUCACUUUUAUCAUGAGUUACCUCGCUGUUUUUAUAUUUUUCAGAUUACAAAAACCUAUAUCUAUCAUCCAUAUUGCACUUGUAUCACCUUCUCUUCGCCGAACUAGUGUACCUAUACAAUUUACCAUUGUAUUCGGUGUGUUGGGGACACAAGAGACUCUUUGUUAUUUGGUUGCAGGGUUGUUUGAGAGAGACCAUCUUGAUCCUACGCCUCCCACGGAUUGAUAAACCUUAGGUCAUCCAUUUGAGGGAUACUGUCCUACAAACCUCUGCACUUGAAGGCCCAACAACGUCUACAAGAAGAAGGUUGUGUAGUAGACAUCACGUGGAUACAGAGUGAUGCCUAUGGGAAGAAGUGGUGCUUUGAUAUUUUAAUUAUUAUUUUUCAGGAGCCCCCAACUAUCAGGUACUAAAUAGAGAUAAGUUCAGAAUAUUUGAACAUGCGAUAGCUUUAUGAUAUGUGUAUAAACUGUGUAUAAACUUCAAAUAAUACCUAUAUCUGCAAUGAUCUCGUCGGCGUCUCCUCAACGGGGAUCAGCGCCGGCUCAGGGUAUAGGCGUGUGGCUCCUGAAGGGGAUCGUCGUCGGAUCCUGGACGUGAUCGUGGCGGGUCCUCAAAGGGAUCAGCGCCAGAUCUGGGGAUCGGCGUGCGGCUCCUGAAGGGGAUCAUCGCCGGAUCCUGAACGUGAUCGGCGACGGGUCCUAAACGGGAUCGGCGGCGUCUCCUCAAACGGAUCGUCCGAUGGAGGGCGGCGGCUUUGAUGUGCAAGGUCGGCGGCGAAGGGAUGGAGUGGCGGCGGCGAAGGAGGGUAGAGAGUCGUGCAAAGGAGGGCAGGGAGUCGUGCGUGCGAGUGGUUUUCGCUCGAGGGCAGGAGGCCUCGCUCAUACGUGUCUGCGAUUGGUUUAGUUUUUUUUUCGCUGGUUAAUUUUUGUAGGUUUUUUUUCGUCGGUUUUUUUCCUCCGCUUUUCUUGGGUGCGACGGGAGGUUAGCCUGUGGACUGCGUGGGGGCAUCCGGCAUCGCUACGAGGUUUUUUUGGUUCGACGCGGCUCACUGUGAGGUGGGAGGAGGGACGGAAAAAACCAGGGGAAGGUGGGACGAAAAAUAACCGUGGAACAGAGACUACCAACUGAGACAUUAGGAGUAGAUAUUUGGUGGCCUACUCUCUUCAAGGAUGCCCGUUAGUUUGGAGUCCCGUGUGAUGAAUGUCAAAGAAUUGGUAAUAUUAGUAGACGUCAAGAAAUGCCUAUGAAUUAUUCACUUGUUAUCGAACCAUUUGAUGUUUGGGGCUUUGAUUAUAUGGGACCUUUUCCUGCCUCUAAUGGAUACACACAUAUUUUAAUUGUUGUUGAUUACGUUACUAAGUGGGUAGAAGCUAUUCCAACUAGUAGUGUUGAUCAUAACACCUCUAUUAAGAUGCUUAAAAAGUUAUUUUUCCGAGGUUUGGAGUCCCUAGAUAUUUAAUGACUGCAUGGUGGUUCAUAUUUUAUUCAUGGUGCUUUCCGUAAAAUGCUUGCUAAGUAUGAUGUUAAUCAUAGAAUUGCAUCUCCUUAUCACCCACGGUCUAGUGGUCAAGUAGAAUUGAGUAAUAGAGAACUCAAAUUGAUUUUGCAAAAGACUGUUAAUAGAUCUAGGAAGAAUUGGUCCAAGAAACUUGAUGAUGCAUUAUGGGCCUAUAGAACUGCAUAUAAAAAUCCUAUGGGUAUGUCUCCGUAUAAAAUGGUUUAUAGAAAAGCAUGUCACUUACCUCUCGAACUAGAACAUAAGGCUUAUUGGGCUAUUAAAGAGCUCAAUUAUGAUUUCAAACUUGCCGGUGAGAAGAGGUUAUUCGACAUUAGCUCACUUGAUGAAUGGAGAACCCAAGCCUAUGAGAAUGCCAAGUUGUUUAAAGAAAAAGUUAAAAGAUGGCAUGACAAAAGGAUACAAAAGCGUGAGUUUAAUGUAGGUGAUUAUGUAUUGCUAUACAACUCUCGUUUAAGAUUUUUUGCAGGAAAAAUUCUCUCUAAAUGGGAAGGUCCUUACGUUAUCCAGGAGGUCUAUCGUUCCAGUGCCAUAAAAAUCAACAACUUCGAAGGCACAAAUCCGAAGGUGGUGAACGGACAAAGAAUCAAACAUUAUAUCUCAGGUAAUCCUAUAAAUGUUGAAACCAAUGUUAUUGAAACCGUAACCCCGGAGGAAUACAUAAGGGACACUUUCCAGAACGUUUCAGACUCCAAAAAGGAAGAGGUAUGUGGUAUGGUAAGUAAACCGACUCCAAAACAGUUCUAAUGGCAAUUUUUCUCCGUUUUGGAAUAUUUAGAAAAAUUGAAAAAUAAGAAGUAGUCCGGGAAGGACACGAGGGUGGAGGGCGCGCCCCCCUGCCUCGUGGGCACCUCGUGCGCUUUCCGGACUCCAUUUUCUUGCACAAUACGUAUUUUGGUCGGUAAAAAUUCAUUAUAUAAUCUUCCGAAGGUUUUGACUCCUGUAUCACCCAAUUAUCCUCUGUUCUUGUUUCGAGCUGUUUUCUGUCAGGGUUGUCAAGGCCAGGAAUCAUGUCGUCCCCCUCCUCCAACAAUGGUGACAAAGAUGCUUGGCUAAUGAAGAUAGAUCUGAGGAGGGAAGAACCCGUGGAAAUCAACAAGGAUGAAGGGAUCAAGAAGGCCACAAAGGACCAAGCUCCGGUAGCCGAAGACACCCUUCAACUUGAUCACAAUCUUCUCACCCCAACUGAGAUCGAAGCUUUCAAGAUGAUUGAGUUAGCUCGUAUACAAAACAAGUAUCUCACACGUGAAAAUAUUUUGUUGAAGGAGCAUAUCGUCGCACUCAAGGGCAUCAUCCGGAAGUUGGAGGAUCUCUUACGCUCGAUGUGCGAUUACCCGUCAUCAACAACUCCACCACCUUCCUCACCAACAAAGGAGAUAUAAUCACAUGGGUAUGGGCACUCCCCUUGGCAACUGCCAAGCUUGGGGGAGGUGCCCCGGUAUCGUAUCACCACCACAUCUCUAUCUUUACCGUUUUUCUUAGUCCGAUCCUUUUAGUAGUAUUUUGAUCUAGUAGAAUAAGGUUUUAGUAUGAUCUAGUUUUGAGUUUUGCUUUAUGAUCCCUCUAUGUAAUCGAGUCCGUGAGCUAUAUAAUAAAGAUUAAUGUUGAGUCAAGGGCUUGAUUAUUUUGCUAAGAUCUUAAGGGAAUAAAAGAAAAGAGAAAAAGAAUAAAAAGAAACAAAGAGAUCAUAUUGAUCUUAUGGAGAGUAAUGACUUCACAUAGAAAGAGUAUGAUGAUUAAAAUUAUUGAGAGUUGACAAACAUAGCUUUGGUCAUCGUUGCAAUUAAUAGGAAGUAAUAAAGAAAGAGAUGUUUCACAUAUAAAUAUACUAUCUUGGACAUCUUUUAUGAUUGGGAGCACUCAUUAAAAUAUGACAUGCUAAAGAGUUGAUGUUGGACAAGGAAGACAACGUAAUGGGUUAUGUUUUCUUAUAUCUGAAAUAAAGUAUAUUGUCAUGGAUCAUCCAACAUGUUGAGCUUGCUUUCCCCCCCUCAUGCUAGCCAAAUUCUUUGCACCAAGUAGAGAUACUACUUGUGCUUCCAAAUACCCUUAAACCUAGUUUUACCAUGAGAGUCCACCAUAUCUACCUAUGGAUUGAGUAAGAUCCAUCAAGUAGGUUGUCAUCGGUGCAAGCAAUAAAAAUUGCUCUCUAAAUAUGUAUGAUUGAUUGGUGUGGAGGAAAUAAGCUUUAUACGAUCUUGUGAUGUGGAAGAAAUAAAAGCGACGGACUACAUAAUAAAGGUCUAUAUCACAAGUGGCAAUAUAAAGUGACGUUCUUUCGCAUUAAAAUUUUGUGCAUCCAACCCUGAAAGCGCAUGGCAACCUCUGCUUCCCUCUGCGAAGGGCCUAUCUUUUAUUAUUAUCUUCUACCUUAUGCAAGAGUCAUGGUGAUCUUCACCUUUCCUUUUUACAUUUUAUCCUUUGGCAAGCACAGGAUGUUGGAAAGAUCCUGAUAUAUAUCUAAUUGGAUGUGGGUUAGCAUGAACUGUUAUUGUUGACAUUACCCUUGAGGUAAAAGGUUGGGAGGCGAAACUAUAAGCCCCUAUCUUUCUCUGUGUCCGGUUAAAACUCCAUAGCCACAAGUAUUGCGUGAGUGGUAGCAAUUGUGAAAGAUUAAAUGAUAGUUGAGUAUGUGGACUUGCUAAAAAGCUCUGACAUAGACUCUUUCUGAUGUUAUGAUAAAUUGCAAUUGCUUCAAUGACUGAGAUUAUAGUUUGUUAGUUCUCAAUAAAGUUUCUGAUUCAUACUUUGCAUUGUGAAUAGAUUAUUACUUGAGCAUAAGAAAUCAUAUGACAUUAUCCAUAUAUGUUGCUGUUAUGAGAAUAAUCAUGAUGCCCUCAUGUCCGUAUUUUAUUUUAUCGAUACCUCUACCUCUAAACCAUUGGACAUAUUUAUCGUUAUCGGCUUCCGCUUGAGGACAAGCGAGGUCUAAGCUUGGGGGAGUUGAUACGUCCAUUUUGCAUCAUGCUUUUAUAUCGAUAUUUAUUGCAUUAUGGGCUGUUAUUACACAUUAUUUCACAAUACUUAUACGUAUUCUCUCUUAUUUUACAAGGUUUACAUAAGGAGGGAGAAUGCCGGCAGCUGGAAUUCUGGGCUGGAAAAGGAGCAAAUAUUAGAGACCUAUUCUGCACAACUCCAAAAGUCCUGAAACUCCACGAAAGUUACUUUUGGAAAUAAUAAAAAAUACUGAGCGGAAGAAAUACCAUAGGGGGCCCACACCCUGGCCACGAGGGUGGGGGCGCGCCCUACCCCCUGGGCGCGCCCCCUGCCUCGUGGGCCCCCUGUUGGCCCUUCGAUGCCCAUCUUCUGCUAUAUGAAGUCUUUCGUCCGAUAAAAAAUCAGAAGCAAGCUUUCGGGACGAGACUCCGCCGCCAAGAGGCAGAACCUUGGCGGAACCAAUCUAGGGCUCUGGCAGAGCUGUUCUGUCGGGGACACUUCCCUCCGGGAGGGGGAAAUCAUAACCAUCGUCAUCACCAACGCUCCUCUCACCGGGAGAGGGCAAUCUCCAUCAACAUCUUCACCAGCACCAUCUCCUCUCAAACCCCAGUUCAUCUCUUGUAUCCAAUUCUUGUCUCUAAGUCUGGGAUUGGUACAUGUGGGUUGCUAAUAGUGUUGAUUACUCCUUGUAGUUGAUGCUAGUUGGUUUAUUUGGUGGAAGAUCAUAUGUUCAGAUCCUAUAUGCAUAUUAAUAGCCCUCUGAUUAUGAACUUGAAUAUGCUUUGUGAGUAGUUAUGUUUUUUCCUGAGGACAUGGGAGAAGUCUUGCUAUUAGUAGUCAUGUGAAUUUGACAUUCGUUCGAUAUUUUGAUGAGAUGUAUGUUGUCUCUCCUCUAGUGGUGUUAGGUGAACGUCGACUACAUCACACUUCACCAUUGUUUGGGCCUAGAGGAAGGCAUUGGGAAGUAAUAAGUAGAUGAUGGGUUGCUAGAGUGACAGAAGCUUAAACCCUAGUUUAUGUGUUGCUUCGUAAGGGGCUGAUUUGGAUCCAUAUGGUUCAUGCUAUGGUUAGGUUUACCUUAAUAUUUCUUUUGUAGUUGCGGAUGCUUGCAAUAGGGGUUAAUCAUAAGUGGGAUGCUUGUCCAAGUAAGGACAGCACCCAAGCACCGGUCCACCCACAUAUCAAAUUAUCAAAGUACCGAACGCGAAUCAUAUGAACGUGAUGAAAACUAGCUUGACGAUAAUUCCCAUGUGUCCUCGGGAGCGCUUUUCUUUAUAUAAGAGUUUGUCCAGGAUUGUCCUUUGCUACAAAAAGGAUUGGGCCACCUUGCUGUGCUUUAUUUACUUUUGCUACUUGUUGCUCGUUACAAAUUAUCUUAUCACAAAACUAUCUGUUACCUUAAUUUUAGUGCUUGCAGAGAAUACCUUGCUGAAAACCGCUUAUCAUUUCCUUCUGCUCCUCGUUGGGUUCGACACUCUUACUUAUCGAAAGGACUAUGAUAGAUCCCCUAUACUUGUGGGUCAUCAUGCUUGCAUUGCCGGAAAGCUUCAUGAAAAAGCUCAUAAAGUGAAGACUAUCAUCACCACCUUGAGGCCCCUUGAGCUUAUCCAUUUGGAUCUUUUUGGGCCUCCAACUUAUGAUAGUUUGGGAGGGAGGAGGUAUUGCCUUGUCAUUGUUGAUGACUUCACAAGAUAUACUUAGGUGUUCUUUCUCAAGACCAAAGAUGAAACUCAAGAAACCUUCAUCAACUUUGCCAAAGAAGCUCAACGUCAACAUAAUUGUGAGAUCAAGUCAAUUCGAAGUGACAAUGGCACCGAGUUCAAGAACUACAUGAUGGAUGAAUUCUUGAGUGAAGAGGGGAUAAAGCAUAAAUAUGCCGCACCAUAUACUCCCCAACAAAAUGGUGUUGCGGAGAGGAAGAAUUAGACUCUUAUUGAGAUGGCUAGGACUAUGUUUGACGAGUACAAGUCUCCAUACAAGCUUUGGGCCGAAGCCAUCAACACCACGUGUCAUGCUUCAAACCGGCUUUAUCUUCGCAAGCUCAAGAACAAGAUCCCAUAUGAGCUCCUAAUCGGGAGAAACCCUAACGUCAAAUACUUUCGGGUAUUCGGUUGUAAGUGUUUCAUUUUAAACAAGAAAUCCCGGUUAGCUAAGUUUGAGUCUAGAACUUAUGAGGGCAUAUUUGUUGGAAUGCAUCAAACUCUCAUGCUUACCGAGUUCUCAAUAAAUCCACUGGAUGCAUUGAGGAAACGGUAAAUGUGAAGUUUGAUGAAGAUAACGGCUCCCGUGUGGAGCAAAUUGUUCCUAGUGUUGUAGGUGAUGAGGCUCCUUCACAAGCUAUAAGGACGAUGGGGAUAGGCCACAUUCUUCCACAAGAAACACCCCAAGUCCAAGUAGAAGAAGAAGGAGUAAUAGCCCCUCUUGUGGAGUCUCCACAAGGGAAGUCAUCACCGGCACCUCUUGAACAAGAUGCUACGGGAGAUCAUGUACCUAUCCAAGAACAAGAUCAAGUCCCUCAUAUUCCCAAGCAAGAUCAAGAGAAAGAUCAUUCAAAUGGUGAAUAACCAAUUACUGAGGCUCAAGAUCAAGAUCAACCCCAACCGCAAGUGUCUUCAUCAUCAUCACUUUCCAAUGAGCAAGAACUUGUGGUUGCGAAGAGAAGGGUGUCACCGAGGCCAAAACAAUCUCAAGGUCAAGCUUCUUCAUCAAGUCCAAAACCAAGUGAAGAAGAGCUUGCAAUUAUGGAGCAAAAAGUGGCUGCCAAGCUAAAGCAUCUUCAACAUCUCACCGAGAACAUCUAUGGAAGCAUGAAAGGGGGUAACUACUCAUAGACGUUUGGCAAACUUUUGUGAACAUCACUCUUUUGUCUCUUGUAUUGAGUCCCUUAAGGUGGAAGAUGCACUUGACGAUCCGGUUUGGAUAGAUGACAUGCAUGAACUCAACUACUUUACCCGCACCAAAGUGUGGACCCUUGUGGAAAGACCCAAAGAGCAUCAUAAUGUCAUUGGAACAAAGUGGAUCUUCAAGAACAAGCAAGAUGAACAUGGACAAGUAAUAAGGAACAAGGCAAGGUUAGUGGCACAAGGUUUCACCCAAGUUGAAGGUUUGGACUUUGGUGUAACUUUUGCCCCCGUUGCCCGUCUCGAAUCCAUUCGCAUCUUGCUUGCUUAUGCCUCUCAUCAUGAUUUUAAAUUAUAUCAAAUGGAUGUGAAUAGUGAAUUUCUUAAUGGUCCUCUUAAGGAGUUGGUGUAUGUCAAGCAACCUCCCAGUUUCGAAGACCCCGAUCACCCCUUUCACGUUUAUGAACUCCAUAAGGCACUCUAUGGACUCAAACAAGCACCUCGUGCUUGGUAUGAUCACCUUAUGGCGUUCCUAAGCGAGAAAGGGUUCCAGAUUGGGGCAAUAGAUUCCACUCUCUUCACAAAGAGGGUAAAAGGAGAGUUGUUUGUUUGUCAAAUUUAUGUUGAUGAUAUUAUCAUUGGGUCCACUAACCAUGCUAUUAACGUUGAGUUUGAGAAUCUUAUGAUUAAUGAAUUUGCUAUGAGCAUGAUGGGAGAGUUAAAGUUCUUCCUCGGUUUUCAAGUGAAGCAAUUGAGAGGAGGAACCUUCAUCAACCAAUCUCGCUAUAUUCAAGACAUGCUCAAGAGAUUCAAAAUGCAAGAUGUCAAGCCAAUGAAGACAUCCAUGCCCACAAAUGGUCAACUUCAUCUUGAUCGCAAUGGUAAAGAAGUGGAUCACAAGGUAUAUCGCUCCAUGAUCGGUUCCUUGCUUUACCUUUGUGCAUCUAGACCGGAUAUUAUGUUGAGUGUGUGUAUGUGUGCAAGAUUUCAAUCCGCUCCUAAGGAGAGCCACUAUUCGGCAGUGAAAAGAAUCCUUCGAUAUUUGGUUCAUACCCCAAACUUGGGCCUUUGGUAUCCCAAAGGAUCAUUGUUUGAGUUAAUGGGAUGCUCUGAUUCGAUUGGGCCGGAGACAAGGUUGACCGCAAGUACACUUCUGGUUCAUGUCAAUUUCUAGGGAGAUCGUUCGUAAGUUGGUCUUCAAAUAAGAAAAAUUGUAUAUCUCUCUCUACGGCCGAAGCCGAGUACAUUGCCGCCGGAAGUUAUUGUGCUCAGUUAUUAUGGAUGAGGCAAACUUUGAUGGAUUAUGGUGUCAAAUGUGACAAAGUGCCUCUUUGGUGCGACAAUGAAAGUGCAAUCAAGAUCGCCGAGAAUCCGGUCCAACACAGCAAGACCAAGCAUAUUGAGAUUCGUCAUCACUUCAUUAGGGAUCAUGUGGCCAAGGGGAACAUUGAAUUACUCCAUGUCAACACUGAGAAUCAACUAGCCGAUAUCUUCACCCAAGCCACUUGAAGAAGCAAGAUUCCGUGAGUUAAGGCAUGAGCUAAAUAUCGUGGAUAUAAGUAACUUGUGUUGAAACUCUUGCUCAUGCACACAUACUCACACUAGUACGCAUCGGUCCUAUACAAACGAUUUUUAACCCCUUUCUGCGACGGUAUUUGGAACCGUUGCCUAGUGAGUGUGGGCGAUAGGGGGGGGGGGGUCCUUCCCACAUGACCCAGAAACCGUCGGGGAUAUGCCCUCCCGGCACACACACACUCGACAAAAUGAGGUCGCGUGCGGGAAUACGUACAGUAGAGCUAAAAAUACAAUUAUACGGCGAAAUUGUUUCCGAUCGCAAGUACAUCCCACACAGUCAGUCCCCGCUAAACGUUUCGUUCGUAUGUACAUCCCACAUAGUCGCUCCAAGGAAAACGUUUCCGUUCAUAGGUAAAUCACACACAAUUUUUCCCGUUAAAUCGUUUGCGUUAUUGAAUGUAUCACACACGGUCCAUAGAAGAAACUAUGUGGGAAAGGCUGUCCAUCACACAUAGUUUUUAUGUGGUAAACGUUUGCGCAAGGUGGCCUAACGCAAACAUUUUUCAAGAUAAAGUCGUGUGUGAUUGUUCAUUGAUCCAACACGGUUUAUUCCUAGAAAAUGUGUGCGUUGCUUGAGGUCAUCGCCCACGAUAUUUUUUUAACAACCGUUUGCGAUAGCAAAACCCAAUUAGCAGGCUAAUUGCCCUAUUAUUAAUAAUCCAUUUAUUAAUCUAACUGACAUUCAUAUUAAGCACAUAAUAUAUUUCAUUUCCAUAUUAAGGAAGCAGAAUUUCAUAAUUGAAAUACAUCAAAGUACAACAUGAUAUAGCUUCAACACUCAGCUACCCCGUUACACAACUGCACCACCACCAAGUUUCACAUGCAACAUGUAGAACCUUUCGAAAUUAGCAUCAUAGAUGGUAUAUAGACAGAUGCAUCUCAUCUGGAAAACUGCUGAAGCGGAAGGCGAAUAUUGAGCCUUCAUUCAUGUUGAAGGUCUUUGCAACUUUAGGCCAGUGCCUGUGGAUGAUUGACCGUCCGUCUUUCGUCCUCUUCAGGAACACUUCAAUAUUGAACCGUGGCUAUUGUAUGAAAACCUUCCUCGCCUCCUGACCAUAGAGGUGGUUUGAGAGGUAAUCAUCAGUGAACUGCUUUGGAAAGGCCUGAAAACAAGGAUGUGCAUAAAUAUCUUCUCUAUAUUGGAAAUGGGGCAAAGGAAUAAAAAAAGGCAAGGUAUAACAGUUAGUACCAUCUUGUAGUGAACUGAUGUCUUCUUCAUUGUGCAGACAAAGAUCUUGUUGUUUUUGUCACUAAUUUCUUUGUCCUAACAACCUUCCCGAGCUUCUUGAUUUGAUUGAUAUUCAUGGACAACUCAUUUCCCCAUAUGCAAAAAGGGUCGAACAGUGGGUCAAAACCUCUAACAGCAGGACGUACAUGUGCAAGACCAAAUUGUUAAAAACCAAAAUAUUAGAAUGGUUCCCGCAAUUGCACAAUAAUGUGCUAUUAGACAACGGACCAUGCACGUGCUAACGUUGAUUGUAAACCUCAGUGCUUCCCAUUGUUUCCCUGCAACACAUAUAAGGUAGUUAGUCAUCAGGUUAAGUAAGGGUUCGCUUGCUAUCAGUAAAAUAUGUUGAUGAAAAAUAAGCAUAUUUCAGAUUCAUCAGAUUAAUUCAAGCCACAUGGAAAACCCAUUUAUCCAAACCAAGCAUGAUUAAUAACUAGGAAAUAUAGCACUUGUAUAUGUUUCUCAUGUAUUAAGUGCAGCCAAAUUCGAUUUAUUCCUCACAUGCACAACAAUACAAAAUUCUACCCACGACAAUUGGACAUCGCAUUGCAGAAUUGAACCAAGCAGUUAACUAAACACCACAACAAAUGAACCAACAUUAACUGAGCACCACAUUGCACAAUAUAACAUACUCCUAAUAUAAGAUUAGACAGUUAACCAAACAGUUAACUACAGCCAAUUGUAGCAAUUGUAUUUGUUUUUCAUUUAUUUACUACAGCCAAAUUCAAUUUAUUCCUCACAUGGUAUACAAUAACAGAAUGCACCCACAACUAUUGAAUAGCGCAUGGCAGAUUGAACAAAACAGUUAACUAAACACCACAACACAAAUGAACCAAACGUUAACUGAGCACCACAUUGCACAAUGUAUAACCAAACCAAGCAUGCUUGACAACUUGGAAAUAUAGCAAUUGUAUUCGUUUCUCAUGUAUUUUGUAAAGAUAAAUUCACUUUAUUUCUCACAUGGAAGAGAAUACAAAAUUGCAUCCUGAAGAAUUGAACAUUACAUUUGCAGAAUUGAACCAAACAGUUAACUGAAGAUGACAACUGAUUAACAGAAUAGUUAAUAAGUGAGCACCACACUGCACGACAUAUAGAACAUAUACACUAGAGCAAUAGAUUGCAUGGUAAAAUUAGAUAGCACAAUUCACUAGAAUUUGUGAAGGAAAGGCAGGAGCAGCACACGCAACGGGUAAACCGAGCAUGCUUAACCGGCGUAGCUAGCAAAUGGCAAGGUGCUCCUCCAAGAUCUGGGGGUCAGCACGAAUGGCAGCAAUCGUGACCUCAUCCGCGCGUCCGGUCGCGAUUUGCUUGUCCGCUGCCAAAUGCUCCUUGAGAUCCUGGCUAUACUGCGUGCACCAUGGCUUAGGGCCGCACUUAUUUGGUGGAGGGGUCGGUGAUUUGGGUGGAAGGUGUCGCGCUCGCGCCGGCGGUCGAGGCAUGUGGGAUGUGGAAGGAUGGGGGUCGGGUGUGGAUUACCUGCCUGGAUAGACGAGGCCGAGCAGCGUGAAGGAGGGUCGCCGACGAGGAGGCGGCGGCGCUGCAAGCAAGGAGUGAAGGUUUCAACUUGGAAAGGAAGGCGGAAACAGGGAAAAUGUGGCUUUUGGUAAGGGGGAGGGGGCGGGGAGGUAGAUAUUUCCGCGGAAGCCGAAAAUUUGGAAUCGCUUCAGCGAAAAAACUGGCACGCGAAGUGUUAUCAGACACGGUCCCUUAUUCAGAACUGUGUACGAUAUGUGAACAUCACAAACGAUUCAAAUAGCUUAACCCGUGUGUGAUGAGUUUGAACGUCAAAAAUUUUGGUUCGAAUUUCCAUGGUUAUAGUGUUCAUCCACGUCAUUGCAUAAUUUGGGUACACAAAGGAGACUACAGCACACCCACACUUCUUAAUCGAGCAAGUUCGGCAAUUAAACAGAGCUAGCUGACCUAAAAAUUACUCUAACAAAUUAAUGACCGUCGCUCUUAAUUAAACAAAACAAAUAGUACUACUACGGCUGGUUCUCGUCGAUCUCCGCCGCCGCCUCCAUGUCCAGCUCGCGCCCGACGGUCUCCUGGGGAAGGGGCUCCAUGGCACCCAUCGCACCAUACUUGGCAAGCAUCUCGCCAUCCGCAUCUGCCAUCUCUUUGGAAAAGGCCGCCACGAGCUGGGCCUGGGCGGACGCGAUCUGGGCUUGUACGGGCUCCGUCGUCACAAGGUAUGCGGCGGAGGAACGGAAGGCUGCUCGAACGCUCUCGGCGAUUGCCGGCUCUUCGGCCGUGGGUUGCCGAGCGUUGUCGGAGAAGCUUCGUUCGAUUUGUGCGGUGAUCGCCAGGAGCUAGGAGUGGGUGGCCUCGACAUGGUCGUGGGCGGCCUCCAUCAGGGCUAAGGCCGCCGCUGCGGAACGGACAGCUGUUGUGCCGCUCUCGCCAGUUGUUAUCCCUGAGCCAGAUGUUGUUGCCGCCACCUGAGAGGCAAUAGCGGCCGUUUGGGCUGCCAUGGCUGCCCGGUCGCAGAAUGCGGCCGCGCUCAUGCACCUUGUUAGCAAGCGCAUGGCGUCUGCGGCCGCGCUCUCGUUGGAGUGGGCCACCAAAGUUGCCCUGACGACGCGGGUCCACGUGCCCAUCUUUCACCGACGACGAUUGAACAGUGAAAUGAUAUUUGGGGAGCGAGCUAGUGUGCUUGAAGACGCCUGCUGUGGACUGUAGCCGGCGCACCUUCUCGCGUAAGCCAUAGGCGUACUAUACACCGACGGUGCUCCAGGAUAUUUUGUGCUGCAUCUCACACGGUUGGUGAUAAUAAACUGUGUGUGAUCUACUUGAUUUUUCAUCUUGAUUUGAAUUACAUAAUGGGGUCACAGCGGCAAUGGACGGUGUUUGAAUUGCUAGACCUUUUAUCUGGAGUGAACAUGCAACUAUAUGUGUGUCGUAAAAGAAUUGGAGUUAUUCAGGGUUCGUUUGAACAUUUUAUACAUUAAAUUGGGUUUCUAGCCAUUUCAGGUGCACAAUUCAAAAUUAAACUACAUGCACAUGCUCCGGUGCACCAACAUGGGUUGUAAAAUCAUAUAUGUGUCCAUGGGUUUAUGCUUAUCUCCCAUGCAAGAAAUGGGGAUGAAAUUCGAACGCCAUAGCAUCGUGGCUCUCCGGCAAACGUCGACGUACUUGCUUUUGUAAUUCUAGUAAAUCCAAAAUUCAUGAAACUUGGCAUGCUAUCAUGGAGCGGCAUCAACAUGCCGUGGUAAAUUUUUUGUCCCAUUUGGGGCAGGUUUGGGUAUAAGCUUCUCAUAAACCAGAGCUUCUCACAACAAGUGUGAUGGUUUCGGUAGGGAACGUUUCACCUUUCUGGACGAAACAAUAUUCGUUGCCUCUUCUCGAUUUCAAAUUUUUUCCUAGUGUCAACAUAGAACAACAGGAGUGUUGUGUCAAUUUUUGGGAUUUUUCGGGGUUCGCUGUAACGCCCAUGAUGCGGCUAUAUCUCCCACGUGUCGAGGCACAACCGCAUUGUGGUAUUGUCGCAAGAAGGGUUAUCUUCACACAAUCCCAUGUAAUGAACAAGAAUGGGAUAACGAGAGUUGGCUUACAAUCGCCACUUCACACAAUACAUAAAUUAAUUCAUACAUCAUCCAAAAUCCACACAUAGGCCGAGUACGGUCAAAUCCAAAUGAAAAUAAGAUAACCCCAAAUGCUAGAACCCCGAUCGUCCCAACUGGGCUCCACUACUGAUCAUCAGGAAAAGAAACAUAGUAACGACCACGUUCCUCGUCGAACUCCCACUUGAGCUCGGUUGCAUCAUCUGCACUGGUAUCGUCGGCACCUGCAACUGUUUUAGUAGAAUCUGUGAGUCAAGAGGACUCAGCAAUCUCACACCCGCGAGAUCAAGACUAUUUGAGCUUAUAGGAAAGGAUGGUGUAAUGAGGUGGAGCUGCAGCAGGCACUAAGCAUAUAUGGUGGCUAACAUACGCAAAGAGAGCGAGAAGAGAAGCAACGCAACGGUCGCGAAGCUAGAAAUGAUCAAGAAGUGAUCCUGAAACUACUUACGUUCAUACAUAACUCAAACCGUGUUCACUUCCCGGACUCCGCCGAGAAGAGACCAUCACGGCUACACACACGGUUGAUGUAUUUUAAUUAAAUCAAGUGUCAAGUUCCCUACAACCGGACAUUAACAAAUUCCCAUCUGCCUCAUAACCGCGGGCACGGCUUUCGAAAGAUAAUACCCUGCAGGGGUGUCCCAACUUAGCCCAUUAUAAGCUCUCAUGGUCAACGAAGGAUAAACCUUCUCCCGGGAAGACCCGAUCAGUCUCGGAAUCCCAGUUUACAAGACAUUUCGACAAUGGUAAAACAAGACCAGCAAAGCCGCCCGAUGUGCCGACAAAUUCCGAUAGGAGCUGCACAUAUCUCGUUCUCAGGGCACAACGGAUGAGACAUCCUACGAGUAAAACCAGGCCUCAAGUUUCCCCGAGGUGGCCCCGCAGUCUACUCAGUUCGGACCAACACUCGAAGGAGCACUGGCCCCGGGGGGGUUAAAAUAAAGAUGACCCUCGGGCUCACGAAAACCCAAGGGAAAAGGCUUAGGUGGAAAAUGGUAAAACCAAGGUUGGGCCUUGCUGGAGGAGUUUUAUUCAAGGCGAACUGUCAAGGGGGUCCCAUAAAUCACCCAACCGCGUAAGGAAUGCAAACUCCAGGAACAUAAUACCGGUAUGAUGGAAACUAGGGCGGCAAGAGUGGAACAAAACACCAGGCAUAAGGCCGAGCCUUCCACCCUUUACCAAAUAUGUAGAUGCAUUAAUUAAAUAAGAGAUAUUGUGAUAUUCCAAAAUAUCCAUGUUCCAACAUGGAACCAACUUCAACUUCACCUGCAACUAGCAACGAUAUAAGAAGGGCUGAGCAAAAGCGGUAACUUAGCCAAAUAACGGUUUGCUAGGAAAGGAUGGUUAGAGGCUUGACAUGGCAAUAUGGGAGGCAUGAUAUAGCAAGUGGUAGGUAGCGUAGCAUAGCAGUAGAACGAAUAACUAGCAAAGCAAAGAUGGAAGUGAUUUCGAGGGUAUGGUCAUCUUGCCUGCAAGGUUCUCAGAGUUGUCGAAAGCUUGAUCCUCGUAAGCGUACUCAACAGGUUCCUCGUUCACGAACUCGUCUCCCGGCUCUAUCCACAGCAAGAACACAAGCAACGAACCACAAUCAAUCACGGGAAAUGCACAAGCAACAUGAUGCAAAACAUGCAUGAUAUGCGAGAUGUGGUAUGCGAUGCAUAUGUGUGCUCCGGAAGAAAAAGAAUGAAGAAGGUAGUAACUUGGCAAACCAAGUAUGCCACUGGAAAUAUGAGAUGAUUUCGGUCGAAAUCGAUAUAAAGAUCACCGGAAACGGAUACACGGUUUGCAAAUGGCAAGCAAAACAAGAAUGACACGAUUCUGCAAUUAACAGCAUGAUAGCACUUAGAAUACAUCAAGUAACUAUGCUAUAGCACCCCAACAUAGCAACAAAGCAUAUGGCAGUAAUCUAUAGGAGAUGCUUGACAAAAGAUGAACACUGAGCUAUGGCUAGAUCACAAAAUAACAGGUUCAAACAAGCAUGACAAAAGUGCAAAAGAUAUCAGGUUCACAGACGGUGAAAUUACUGGACAUGGCUGAAACAGCAUCAGGUAGCAAUGUUCAGAGCAAGAAAAACACAUGCUAAAAGAAUUUAACGUAGCAAAACAAGGCAUGGAAUAAAUCUACUAAAUUCAUAGAACAAAAGUCCCUUACUGACCAUAAGCCAAAAAGGAUCAUAACAUACGAUGGCAACCAUCUAAACAUAGCAAGUUUCGUUAACAGGUUUCAGACAGCAGAAAACAGAGCAUGACAGAAACAGUAUUAUGAAGGCAUCUUGGUGAGCUUGAUUCACUCACCACCAAGCAAUGCAUGACAAAAAAAGCAUACCUACGGCAAGAUGGAAUGUUUAUGAAGCUAACCAUGGCAAGAGCAAAUACAUAGCAUGAAAGGAUCAACUACAACAAGCUUGGCAAAAUUGAAUAUCAUGUUAACAAUCUGCCAGGAAUAUUUUAUAGCAAAAGUAGAGCAAGAUUAAGACAUGCUAUGGCACUCCAUAAUUGCAAACAGGGGCAUGGAUGGAUAGAACACAACAAUAUAUACACAACAUCCUUACUGAACAUGCCCAAAAGAAGCAUAGAUCUCUCUGUAGACACAUGGAUACAUGGCAACAAAAUUAUAGCAGUCACAGACUUAGCAAAAUUUCGAAGUCCCUGAAAACAGAAACAUCACGAAGCGUAGUUUGCAUGCUUGUGCUAGUCACCAUAUAGAUCAAAAAAAUACAUGGAAUAUACCUCUGUAAAUAUGGCAUGGCAUAGAUCAAAACACGUGUAGAGCUCAUGCCCAUAAAAUGCACACAUCGAAUGCAACAAAAAUAACAAAACUCCAAGUUCUGAUAAAUAACAGCAGUAAACAUCAUAUAGCACUCUUGCACCAGAGAUUUGGGCAUCAAGAUGGACUCAAAUGAGCAUGGCACAAUGUAACAAAAUUUAGAGCAUCUCGAGGAUGUAUCAUGCACGCAAAACGGAGCAGUAUGCAGAGAGUUAUGAUGCGAUGAACAGAGCCACUUAUUGCAAAUAUAUCGGGACUUGGAAGAUUUUCGGGGGGGAGAAAGUCAACCGUCUCGAUCUGGAUCUGGCGCGGCUCGGGCGCGCGGUCGCCGAGGAUCGCCGGGGCUGGCGCGGCUGUCGGAGACGGAGGGAGACGGCGCGCUCGGGCGGAGAGGAGGAGGCGGAGGCGCCGGGGUUCGGGCGGCGCUCGCCGGCGGGAGGAGGCGGCNNNNNNNNNNNNNNNNNNNNNNNNNNNNNNNNNNNNNNNNNNNNNNNNNNNNNNNNNNNNNNNNNNNNNNNNNNNNNNNNNNNNNNNNNNNNNNNNNNNNNNNNNNNNNNNNNNNNNNNNNNNNNNNNNNNNNNNNNNNNNNNNNNNNNNNNNNNNNNNNNNNNNNNNNNNNNNNNNNNNNNNNNNNNNNNNNNNNNNNNNNNNNNNNNNNNNNNNNNNNNNNNNNNNNNNNNNNNNNNNNNNNNNNNNNNNNNNNNNNNNNNNNNNNNNNNNNNNNNNNNNNNNNNNNNNNNNNNNNNNNNNNNNNNNNNNNNNNNNNNNNNNNNNNNNNNNNNNNNNNNNNNNNNNNNNNNNNNNNNNNNNNNNNNNNNNNNNNNNNNNNNNNNNNNNNNNNNNNNNNNNNNNNNNNNNNNNNNNNNNNNNNNNNNNNNNNNNNNNNNNNNNNNNNNNNNNNNNNNNNNNNNNNNNNNNNNNNNNNNNNNNNNNNNNNNNNNNNNNNNNNNNNNNNNNNNNNNNNNNNNNNNNNNNNNNNNNNNNNNNNNNNNNNNNNNNNNNNNNNNNNNNNNNNNNNNNNNNNNNNNNNNNNNNNNNNNNNNNNNNNNNNNNNNNNNNNNNNNNNNNNNNNNNNNNNNNNNNNNNNNNNNNNNNNNNNNNNNNNNNNNNGCUGACGUGGUGGCGGCGGAUUGGGCGAGGGCGGCGGCGCAGUUUGUCCGGCGCGCGGAGGGAGCGGUGGCUAGGGUUUGGACCCGGAAUUCGGGGGAGAUGUGCACAUAUUUAUAGGUAGAGGGAGCUAGGAGGCUCCAAAUGGAGUGCGGUUUUCGCCCACACGAUCGGGAUCGAACGACCGAGAGCAUGGAAGGGGCUUAGAGGGGUUAUUGGACUGUUUGGAGGGGGGGUUUUGCUGCAACACACAAAAGACCUUUGCGGUUACCCGGUUAACCGUUGGAGCACCAAACGACCUCCAAAUGGAACGAAACUUGACAGGUGGUCUACCGGUGGUAUACCAAGGCCACUUGACAAAACUUGGUCCAUUCCGAGAAUGUUUAACACCCGCUCACGAAAAGAGACAAGAGGGGUGCGCCGGUGCAUGUGGGAGUGUCAGAUUGCAAAACGGACAACGGGGAAAAUGCUCGGAUGCAUGAGACGAACACGAAUGCAAAUGAGAUGCGCAUGAUGACAUGAUAUGAGAUGCAUGACAUGAACAAAAUGCAAAACGGAAGACAAAAACCCAACCACGGAGGGAAUAUCAUAACACAUGACCGAAAAUGGCAAGAGUUGGAGUUACAAAUAUGGAAAGUUACAUCCGGGGUGUUACAUUCGCUUGGACAUUUUUAUACAUUAACUGAGUUUUAUGUGCAUUCAUGUGCAUAAUUCAAAUUUGAACUACAGGCACAUGCUCCAAUGCAUAUAAAUUAGUUGAAAAUUCAAAUAUGUGUCCUUGGUUGCCUGCUUAGGUCCCAUGCAAGAAAUGGGAAUGAAUGUCAAACACCCUGCCACCGUCACUCGGCCGCAAACAUUGAGAUACCUGGUUUUUAAAUUCUAGUAAAUCCAAAACUCGUCUGAAAUUCAUGAAACUUGGCAUGCUAUUAUGGAGCGGCAUCAACAUGCCGUGGAAAUUUUUUGUCCUAUUUGGGGCAGGUUUGGGUAUAUGCUUCUCACAAACCAGAGCUUCUCACAUAAAGCAUGAUGGUUUCCGAUGGGAAUGUCCCACCUUUGGGGACGAAACGAUAUCCAUUGCCUCUUAUUGCUUCCAAUUUUUUUCUCGUGUCAACAUAGAACAACAGGAGUGUUGUGUCAAUUUUAGUGAUUUUUCGGGGUUCGUUUGGACAUUUUUAUGCAUUAACUGAGUUUUCAAUGCAUUUAUUUGCAUAAUUCAAAUUUGAACUACAUGCACAUGCUCCAGUGCAUAUAAAUUGGUUGAAAAAUCAAAUAUUUGUCCUUGGGUGCAUGCUUAGGUCCCAUGCAAGAAAUGGGAAUGAAUUUCAAACACCAGGGGACCGUUGAUUGCCGGCAAAACAUUGAGAUGCCUGGUUUUUAAAUUCUAGUAAAUCCAAAACUUUUCUGAAGUUCAUGAAACUAAGCAUGUUAUCAUGGAGCGGCAUCAACAUGUCGUGAUAAAAUUUUUGUCCCAUUUGGGGCAGGUUUGGGUAUAUGCUUCUCACAGACCAGAGCUUCUCACAACAAGCAUGAUGGUUUCGAUAGGGAACGUCCCACCUUUGGGGACGAAACGAUAUCCAUUGCCUCUUAUUGCUUUCAAAAAAUUUCUCGUGUCAACAUAGAACAACAGGAGUGUUGUGUCAACUUUUGUGAUUUUUCGGGGUUCGUUUGGACAUUUUUAUGCAUUAACUGAGUUUUCAGUGCAUUUAUGUGCAUAAUUCAAAUUUGAACUACAUGCAAAUGCUCCAGUGCAUAUAAAUUGGUUGAAAAAUCAAAUAUGUGUCCUUGGGUGCAUGCUUAUGUCCCAUGUAAGAAAUGGGAAUGAAUUUCAAACACCAGGGCACCAUUGAUUGCCGGCAAAACAUUGAGAUGCCUGGUUUUUAAAUUCUAGUAAAUCCAAAACUCAUCUGAAAUUCAUGAAACUUGGCAUGCUAUUAUGGAGCGGCAUCAACAUGCCGUGGAAAUUUUUUGUCCCAUUUGGGGCAGGUUUGGGUAUAUGCUUCUCACAAACCAGAGCUUCUCACAUAAAGCAUGAUGGUUUCGGAAGGGAACGUCCCACCUUUGGGGACGAAACGAUAUCCAUUGCCUCUUAUUGCUUCCAAAAAAAUUUCAUGUCAACAUAGAACAACAGGAGUGUUGUGUCAAUUUUCGUGAUUUUUCGGGGUUCGUUUGGACAUUUUUAUGCAUUAACUGAGUUUUCAAUGCAUUUAUGUGCAUAAUUCAAAUUUGAACUACACGCACAUGCUCCAGUGCAUAUAAAUUAGUUGAAAAAUAAAAUAUGUGUCCUUGGGUGCAUGCUUAGGUCCCAUGCAAGAAAUGGGAAUGAAUUUCAAACACCAGGGCACCGUUGAUUGCCGGCAAAACAUUGAGAUGCCUGGUUUUUAAAUUCUAGUAAAUCCAAAACUCGUCUGAAAUUCAUGAAACUUGGCAUGCUAUCAUGGAGCGGCAUCAACAUGUCGUGGUAAUUUUUUUGUCCCAUUAGGGGCAGGUUUGGGUAUAUGCUUCUCACAAACCAGAGCUUCUCACAACAAGCAUGACGGUUUCGAUAGGGAACGUCCCACCUUUGGGGACGAAACGAUAUCCAUUGCCUCUUAUUGCUUUCAAAAAAUUUCUCGUGUCAACAUAGAACAACAGGAGUGUUGUGUCAAUUUUUGUGAUUUUUUGGUGUUUGUUUGGACAUUUUUAUGCAUUAACUGAGUUUUCUGUGCAUUCAUGUGCAUAAUUCAAAUUUGAACUACAUGCACAUGCUCCAGUGCAUAUAAAUCGGUUGAAGAAUCAAAUCUGUGUCCUUGGGUGCAUGCUUAGGUCCCAUGCAAGAAAUGGGAAUGAAUUUCAAACACCAGGGCACCGUUGAUUGCCGGCAAAACAUUGAGAUGCCUGGUUUUUAAAUUCUAGUAAAUCCAAAACUCGUCUAAAAUUCAUGAAACUUGGCAUGCUAUCAUGGAGCGGCACCAACAUGCCGUGGUAAAUUUUUUGUCCCAUUUGGGGCAGGUUUGGGUAGAUGCUUCUCACAAACCAGAGCUUCUCACAACAAGCAUGAUGGUUUCGGUAGGGAACGUCCCACCUUUGGGGACGAAACGAUAUCCAUUGCCUCUUAUUGCUUUCAAAUUUUUUUCUCGUGUCAACAUAGAACAACAGGAGUGUUGUGUCAAUUUUUGUGAUUUUUCGGGGUUCUUUUGGACAUUUUUAUGCAUUAACUGAGUUUUCAAUGCAUUUUAUGUGCAUAAUUGAAAUUUGAACUACAAACACAUGCUCCAGUGCAUAUAAAUUGGUUGACAAAUCAAAUCUGUGUCCUUGGGUGCAUGCUUAGGUUCCAUGCAAGAAAUGGGAAUGAAUUUCAAACACGAGGGCACCGUUGAUUACUGGCAAAACGUUGAGAUACUUUAUUUUUAAAUUCUAGUAAAUCUAAAACUCGUCUGAAAUUCAUGAAACUUGGAAUGCUAUCAUGGAAUGGCACCCGACAUGCUGUGGUAUUUUUCGUGUCCAUUUUGAGAGAAGGCGCACUCGAAUAAUGACAGCCAACAAAGGCAUUUUGCAAAAAUAGCUGCCACUUUAAUAUCUCAAACGUUUGUAUAAUUCAAACCGUGUGUGUUCUGUUAACCAUUCAAGUGACGCCACGUGUCUUGGUUUUAAUGGUUGUAGGAGGUGCCAUGCGGACAGCUGCUUGACCUUGACUGAACGGGAGGCGUGCGAGCGCAGUCCGGUGCGCAGGCUGACCGAGAGGCGUGCA